AUAUAAAACCAUCUCAGUUCUUCUGUACAUGAAAAUAGAUUAAGGAUUCUUAACAAUCAUGCCCAAAUGUUUUUCAAAGUUCAUCCAUUCAGGAUUUACAUGAGAAGAACAUAGGCUUUCAUGCCAUUCGGUAAUAAUACAAACAUUCUAGUUUCCACCCAGUGUUUGAACAAUGGUGUUGUGCCAUGGAUCAGAAAUGUGCUGCAACAAGUUAUCAAAUGGUCCUUUUCCUGUCACAUUGUGCUGAAUUAUAAAUCCCAAGAAUGCCAACAUUGCCAAUCUCCCUGCAAAGUAAAACACAGUUAAUGAUCUAUCGAUUAUGAUCGAUUGGUAAACCAGAAGACUUUAGAGACAUUAAAAAUAUUUACCAUUUGCAAUUUCCUUCUCUUUAGCCUCCAAAGUUGGUGCGAAGUUCAAAGGAUUAAAGAUCCCGCCAGGGUAACCAACCUCGCCUGCGGGCAAGCUGUAUUGCUUAAAGAUAGGAUCUUGGUUAACACUGCCAGGGUUUUUAAUGUCUUGCCAUCUUCUAAUCUCGACAUAAUGGAACAAAAUGAACUCGAUCACGAAGAGUGUUGAAGAUGAAGCAAAGUAUUCUUCUUUCCCUGCGUCAUACCAUUUCGGAACAUUGAUGAUUCCAAUGCUUGUGAAUACCUCAGGGAGUAACAUCCCUGCAACACCCAACAUUGCCCAUCGCCCGUUCACUAGCUCGGCUUGAACAAACCACCUCAAAUUCUCUGGAUCCUCCGCAAGUCCCAAUGGAUCAAAUCCGUUGUCUCCGGGAAGACUAAUAGCAUCACGAAACAAACAAGUUAACAAAUUAGUCUAACUAUAAAGAAUGUCUUCAUUUACACAAUCUAAGUCGUUGAUAUUCAACUCAGAUAAAGGGCUAAUCUUCUACAACAUGACAAUUUGAAAUCACAUUUCAAAAUUCCUAAAACAAAAAUUCUUAGAGGUGCCUAUACUAAGUGACAAUUCCUCAAACAAAUACUCUUUCAACACGAUCCAGUAACUCUAAAAAGAUCAAUUCUCUAUAAGACUUAAAAUGAGUAUUAUUAAGAGUCUCACAUUAAACAAUACGUGACCUCAACAUAUACUUAUAAGUGUUCGCAUUCUUCACCGAACGAGCCUAAUGAUUUAAGUCAUUACUGACUAGAUUUUCGCAUGGGACAAUAUAUGGGCUACACAUAUAUUUAUAAGUCAGGACAAUCUUCACCUCUCCUCUCCUGAGUUCUAUUAAAAUGAUAAAGACACCCCUUCUAAUUUUAAAAUAUACAGUAACCUCCUAUGAGGUCUAUUCAUAAAACAUUAUACCCUGUCUACUUUUUAAUGACAGUAUAGAUGACAUUUACUUACAGAUUUUAUCAAUCACUCAACAAAAGCCAUUGAUAUAUGUAAGUUCAAGAGAGGUUAUUGCAUAUUUUAAAACUAGAAAGAGUUUCACUCUCAAAAACCGUAGGUAUAGAUGACAUUUACUUACAGGUUUUAUGUUUUAUGUAUCAGAGCCAAAUUCAAGAUCCCUUAGGCCACUGUUGGGCACAAACACAAUUUUAUCAUGGUUUCAGAGUCAAGUUCAAGAUCCCUUGUGCCACUAUUGGAAACAUAUGAUUACUUACUAAUGUCUAUGUGAGUGUUUCAUUAUGCUACAAAAUAGAUAAGUUUACAUACCUGCCAGUUAGGUAACCUGGGGAGGCCAAACCUGGCAACCACUCUCCUUUCUUAGCUUCAACUUUAAAAGAAGCAGAAGGUGAACAUCCAACAGGCCUAAAAGCCACUCCUCUGUUCAACUUCCCGGAAGAACCACCAAGAAACCUUGAUUUCAAACCACAUGGCCCAAAAAUCGCGGCGGAAGCUUGUGUAGUAACGGUGGCCAUGAUAAACCACUAGUGAUCGUGGUGGUGACAAAGAAAAAAAAGAGUGAAAACGCAAGAUGAAAAUGUUUUUGUUGUUGGUUUUGUUUUGAGCAUGGGUUGUUGUUUCAUAUGUAUUUAGUUUCGGAACCAUUCAUGUGGUUGUGUUUCUCUGUUUAUGAUCUACCGUUGGUUUGCACGAUAUUUAGGAUCUAACGGUGGAUAUGCGUUGAGGCUUAUCCUUUUAUCUUAAUGUUAUAUCCACAAAUCUAUUUGUUCGUUGUUGUUGGCUGGGAAAAGAUUCUGUGGGGUCGUGAAACGUAACGAUGGAUGAUCGAUGGGAGAGAUUGGAAUAUCAUAGUCACCCAAUUAUUGCUAGACAUGUGGCUAGCUAAUGUUUUUUCCACUCUCAAAUAUCUAUGAUUUUCAAUUCUAUUUAAAAAAUUUAACUAUUUUAUAAUGGUUUCAAAAACCACACAAUCCUAUUCAAAGAAAAAGAAAAAUUAUAAGAAAUAUGAUUCAUAGUUCAAUUGUAAAUCAAUGGUAAAUAAGUAAAAGUAAUAGUUAAGAAAUUUUAUCGAGUUAAUUCCUCUUUAUAAAAUUGAUUUAUAGAGUGAGAAUUGCUUCGAUUUAUAAGAACGUGUUUAAGUUAAAUAUUGUCUGAUUUGACACUCUUAAUAUAUUUUCUUAUGUUUAUGAUUGAAUAUCUGAAGCGUAAAAAUAAAUUGUUGGUGGUUCGAUAACGGAAAUAUAAUAGCAGGUGGUCCACCGGAUGUUAAAAGAGACUUUUGAUAUAAUAUUAAGAAAUGUGGUUGGUCUAAUUAAGGUGAAGAUUGUUCACUUAUAAGGACAUGUUCAAAUCAUAUAUUAUUUCAUGUGAAACUCUUAACAAUAAUUAAAAUAUAUAUAUAAUUGAUUCAACCAACAACUUUUCAAUCUAGUUAAAUCAAAUUCGAGACAUAAAAAAGCAAAACAUUAAAAUAGCUAAUGUUAUUGAUUUUCUUUUAAUUCAAGUUACUAAUUUUGUAACUUAAGUUAAGGUAGCAAUUAAUUUAGUCAGUAAUUAUUGAGUUAAUGCAAUCACUAUUAAUUGAUUUUGCUUAUCUUCAAUUUAGAACCAAGUAAUUAUAUAUAUAUAUAUAUAUAUAAUUUUAUAAUUAAUCAAAUACGUAUUCACUCAAUUAUUCUCUUAGUUUUACUUUGUUUUGCAUUAACAAAUUGGUAUUCAAAAGCUCAAUUUGAUUUGUGAGAACAAUUGUGAUUGAAAUUAUGGUGGGAAACAAUGACUUUCUAACAAAUAUACUGAUUCUUAAUAAUAAUAAUUAAGACAGAUGGUACAAGUAAAUGAAGGUGAUAUUCAACGUUUAAGACGUGAGUGAAUAUAUUAAUAAAGGUGUUCGACCUUUGGUUGAAAAUCUAACAUAAGUUCGACGCACAACUUUCAAAGAAUUAAAGAUGAAAGAUCAAGAUGUUUUAUUAUAUAUCUACCAAUGUGUCGAUCAUAAGCAACGUCUUCAAAGGAAGCUUGGGAUAUAUUUGAGAAGUAUUAUGUUGGUGAUGCAAAAGUCAAGAAAGUGUGACUCAAUUCGUUAAAAAGACAAUAUGAAAUGUUUAAGAUUAAAGGAAAUGAACUAGUUGUAGACUAUUUCUCAAGAUUAUAUGCUUAGACAAAUCAAAUGAAUAGCUCAUGUGAAACCUUAUCAUUAAAGGUGGUGAUUGAGAAGGUUUUGUGCACUCUUAUUCUUCAAUAUUACAUGAUUGUAGUGACAAAUAGAAUUAGGGUUAAUGGACUUGACUAUCCGGUUAUGGAAAUCAAAUAGAAUGAUAUUAAAUCUUAAUUUCAAACCUACUCAAGCAAAUGUGUACAAAAGAGAAAGUAUUUGACAAAGUUUUGAAGUCCUUAGGGUCCCCAUAAUUUAGUAGUGAGUGAAACAAUUAUAAUGCAAAAGGGUUUUAUCAUAAAAGUGCAUGGCUAGACCACACACACCAUCUUCAAACUUGAAAAAACGAUAACAUUUUCAUCUACUUUCAUACCGUCGAGGAGGGAGGCGACACCGCGUUCUUCGUUCAUUUGCCUUUCGUUUAGCUUUCGAGGAGGAACUUUAAGAUCCUGACAACAUUUUUUUUACUUAUUCAUCCUGUUCCCGGUACGUAAACUUUUUCGUCCCAUGCAUCUACAGUACCUACAUAUCCAUUGUUAUUUAUGUAUUUGUUGUUGUUGAUGCUUAUGUAUUUGUUGUUGUUGAUGCUUAUCUAUUUGUUGUUGACGAUUCUUAUUAAUGAAUUGAUGUGCCGUUACCGAAUGUGUGAUGUGAUUAGGGUGAUUAAUGUGUUAAAUUACUUAACAUGACAUGAUAUUUUAUAAUGCUUAUUAUAUUGAUUGAGGAACUCACCCUUACAACUAUUUGUUGUUGUUGAUGCUUAUCUAUUUGUUGUUGACGAUUCUUAUUAUUGUUGUUGGUGGUGAUGCUUUAUUGAACAUGAUGCUUGUUGUUGUUGUUGUUGCUUAUAUAUUUUUUUAUGCUUGUUGAUCAGUAUCUUGAUAUUGUGGAUUGUUUCUUUGACUUCCAUGAGAUCAAAGAGUUUUCCUUGUUACUGAUUUUCUAGACUAAGAUUAUGUUGCAUUUCUUGGACGAAGCGAAGUCAACAUAUUGUUAGAUGAUUAGAAGGAUGUACCAGAUGAGGUGAAAAAAGCAUAUGGACAAAUGUUCAGGUAUUAAUUUUAAUUUUUAUCGAUUCGAUAUUACGUUAUAUAAACACUAAUACAAAUUUAUUGUUUUAAAUGUGUAUAUGACGUGUGAAUUUAGUGAUGAUUCGAAGUUGAAAAAAAAUGGAUAACUUAUGCUAGUAUAACUUGGAGGAGUUUUAAGUCACGGCUCACGAGUGACUAUUGUUUACUGUCGAAAUUGGUAAAUAAACAAUAGUCUUCCAAAUUUUAAUAUAUUUGGUUACUUACAGGAUCAACUAGAUUGAUCCUAGGACAUGUGUUGUUAUUUAGUUUCUGGGUUUGUUAAUUAUGAACAUUUCGACAAUGUUCUUCAAAGUUAUUAAAGAGAAUGUUACAAUUCUUUAACAAAAUGCAGAAGUAGAGACUUGGAAAGUAAAUGACUUAAAAGUAAAUGACGAAAUCUUAAAUAUUGAAAUUGUCUUCAAAGUAAAUUGUAGCAAAUGUAAAUGACACAAUCUUAAAUGACUUGGUUAAAAGUAUAAAAUAUGGUAUUCACACGUACAUUUUCACUCAGGAACACCCAUUUCUCAUGCACAGGUACUUUGAGUAAAUUUAAAGUUUUUCUUACAAGGUUGAACACCCUUUUCCUAAUGGAUAAGUGUCCUAUUUAUAUUAAAUCGAAAGUAACCUCUAUUCAACGGUCUUUUCUCCAGAAGAUAUCAUGUCUUAGAUUUGCAUGCAUUAUGAUGCUCAAAGCUCUUCACGCGUCUUCAAGAAAUGGAUAAGGCCAAAAUAGUUAUCAUCAUCAAAUUUGAAUUAUACUGCGUCGAAAGCUACUCCAGGUAAGAUUCAUCGAAUUCCAGUCUAGGCCGAAAUAUUUCUAAGUCCUAGACCACAACUUCCUCCGUCGAAAUAUUCUCAUUAAUCUGUUUUCGAAGUCAACAUAUUCUUCUUCAGAAUAUUUCUUUGAAUCCUAUGACCAAAUCCUAACAUUUAUGUAUGUCAAAAUCCCAGCCAACAAAUUUCCCCCAAAAAAUGUUAUUUUCGACUGUAUGGAGAAGAAGAUAUUUUUUGAAACGUUUCGACACUAAAUCGUAUUUACUGCUAUGACGUCAUGAUCAUCAUGACCUUCAAGCUAUGGAUAAGCUUAACGUCAAUAAAAUCAAAGUCGCCACCACGCUUUUAUUGUUUCCAAAGGAAAGGUAAAAGUACGAACAAAACUCAAAGAUGAGAAGUUUUCAAAUCAAAACUAAUAAAAUGUUAGAGAUUACAGGUAAGGGGGUUGGUUACACAGAGGGAAGGUGUUAGCACCCAAAGUAUCCUAGGUACUCCUAGGGAGCCCUUUUUUAUGUGUGCAUAUAUGUUUGGUAUAAAAGAUGUUUGAGAAAAAAAUAGAGUGUGGGGGUGAGAAAAGAAUUCAUUUAUUAUAUUUUUUGUGUUUGACAAGACCUUCGGUCUCGUGCCUACGUACCAACAUAAGAAUGAGGGAUUAAAACCUCGUAGUUCAUGGUAAAAAAUUCAAAUAAGUUGGUGAAUUAUUUUUAACAAAAUUUUAAUAAGAAGAGGCACAAAGGGCCAAAAAUUUGAAUGGAGUUGUUAGUUCUUUUUGUCUUUUGAAAUCUCAAGUCAAUAUGUUUAAGUUUAUUUAUAAAUUUGAUUUAAGAAAGAGUUUGAAAAUUCAAUGGCAUAAGGCCAAAGUUUCAAAAUAUUAAAAGAAAGUCUAAGUUUGAAAUAACAAGCAAAGAAAGGUUUUGAAAAGGGGGAUAUAUUUUGAAAUUUAAGAAGUGGUAGGAGAUGAAGAGGCUAUCCUAAGCACAAAUUUAAAAGUUAAGAGUUAAAAAGAUCUGACCAAUUGGAUGCAAUCCAUCAUACAAGAAUGUCAUAUAGAAACUCAUUUUCCUUUGGAUUUUUACCAAGCAAUAAUCAAUAAGCAAUGAGCAAUAUCCAGACAUCAUGAAGAUCAAGGCAUCAAAUAAAGAUAGCCACAUCCAAGAAAGCAAUUCCAAUAGCUAGCAGUAUUCAUUGUCUUCCCAUGUAUCAGAUGGAAUAUUUCUUGAUCAACUCAAAGCAAAGCAUCAGACACAAGAUCAAAAUGACAAUUAAGCACAAAGACAGAGUAGUAGAUGAAUUCAAACAGAUCCAAGGCUUGUAUCAGAUAAAGGCUCAGUUCACAAUAGCU
rnacentral:lncRNA from 1 species